UACGUAGGUGGCAAGCGUUGUCCGGAUUUACUGGGCGUAAAGAGCGCGCAGGCGGUCGUUCAAGUCGCGUGUGAAAGCCCCCGGCUCAACUGGGGAGGGUCACGCGAUACUGAUCGACUCGAAGGCAGGAGAGGGUAGUGGAAUUCCCGGUGUAGUGGUGAAAUGCGUAGAUAUUGGGAGGAACACCAGUGGCGAAGGCGACUACCUGGCCUGUUCUUGACGCUGAGGCGCGAAAGCUAGGGGAGCAAACGGGG
rnacentral:rRNA from 1 species